rnacentral:lncRNA from 1 species
UGUAAAAAGUAUUGAUGAUCAAACUCAAAAGCUGAUUGAUCUCAGCCUGAAAGGCAAAGGUCUCUGCGUCAGCCAUCUGCACGUCCGCCAUUUCCCUCGUACACAACCAAACAGAACAGAAAAACGAAGCAAAUUUGAAAAAGAAAGGUGAGCAAAGGAAGCUAGGGGUUUUAUACUUUGCUUUGUAUAACAGAGAACUACACAACCAAACAGAACAGAAAAACAAAGCAAAUUUGAAAAAGAAAGGUGAGCAGAGGAAGCUAGGGGUUUUAUACUUUGCUUUGUAUAACAGAGAACUGAUCUGAUUUCAGAGAAAAGAAUUUGAAGGUAUUUAUAUAUUGAAUGAAGUUCUUCUAGUCCCUUCUCAGCGUAUAUUAUUUUAGCGAGGGAAAAAGAAGGGGGCGGGUGAGAGGUUCUGGAUGGUUCUAUGAAACGAUGGCGUUUUCGUGAUUUUCUUUCUGAGCGAGUCAACGGUGUUCGUUUAUGAAUUCGAAUUGUCUUUUGCGGUGACGUUUUAGUUCGGCUGGGUGAACCGGCGGUUUAGGAAG